UACCCUGUAGACUCGAAUUUGUG
rnacentral:ncRNA from 2 species